GAAGGUGUGCUGUGAGGCAUGCUGGAGGUAUCAGAAGUGCGAAUGCUGACAUAAGUAACGAUAAAGCGGGUGAAAAGCCCGCUCGCCGGAAGACCAAGGGUUCCUGUCCAACGUUAAUCGGGGCAGGGUGAGUCGACCCCUAAGGCGAGGCCGAAAGGCGUAGUCGAUGGGAAACAGGUUAAUAUUCCUGUACUUGGUGUUACUGCGAAGGGGGGACGGAGAAGGCUAUGUUGGCCGGGCGACGGUUGUCCCGGUUUAAGCGUGUAGGCUGGUUUUCCAGGCAAAUCCGGAAAAUCAAGGCUGAGGCGUGAUGACGAGGCACUACGGUGCUGAAGCAACAAAUGCCCUGCUUCCAGGAAAAGCCUCUAAGCAUCAGGUAACAUCAAAUCGUACCCCAAACCGACACAGGUGGUCAGGUAGAGAAUACCAAGGCGCUUGAGAGAACUCGGGUGAAGGAACUAGGCAAAAUGGUGCCGUAACUUCGGGAGAAGGCACGCUGAUAUGUAGGUGAAGUCCCUCGCGGAUGGAGCUGAAAUCAGUCGAAGAUACCAGCUGGCUGCAACUGUUUAUUAAAAACACAGCACUGUGCAAACACGAAAGUGGACGUAUACGGUGUGACGCCUGCCCGGUGCCGGAAGGUUAAUUGAUGGGGUUAGCGCAAGCGAAGCUCUUGAUCGAAGCCCCGGUAAACGGCGGCCGUAACUAUAACGGUCCUAAGGUAGCGAAAUUCCUUGUCGGGUAAGUUCCGACCUGCACGAAUGGCGUAAUGAUGGCCAGGCUGUCUCCACCCGAGACUCAGUGAAAUUGAACUCGCUGUGAAGAUGCAGUGUACCCGCGGCAAGACGGAAAGACCCCGUGAACCUUUACUAUAGCUUGACACUGAACAUUGAGCCUUGAUGUGUAGGAUAGGUGGGAGGCUUAGAAGUGUGGACGCCAGUCUGCAUGGAGCCGACCUUGAAAUACCACCCUUUAAUGUUUGAUGUUCUAACGUUGACCCGUAAUCCGGGUUGCGGACAGUGUCUGGUGGGUAGUUUGACUGGGGCGGUCUCCUCCUAAAGAGUAACGGAGGAGCACGAAGGUUGGCUAAUCCUGGUCGGACAUCAGGAGGUUAGUGCAAUGGCAUAAGCCAGCUUGACUGCGAGCGUGACGGCGCGAGCAGGUGCGAAAGCAGGUCAUAGUGAUCCGGUGGUUCUGAAUGGAAGGGCCAUCGCUCAACGGAUAAAAGGUACUCCGGGGAUAACAGGCUGAUACCGCCCAAGAGUUCAUAUCGACGGCGGUGUUUGGCACCUCGAUGUCGGCUCAUCACAUCCUGGGGCUGAAGUAGGUCCCAAGGGUAUGGCUGUUCGCCAUUUAAAGUGGUACGCGAGCUGGGUUUAGAACGUCGUGAGACAGUUCGGUCCCUAUCUGCCGUGGGCGCUGGAGAACUGAGGGGGGCUGCUCCUAGUACGAGAGGACCGGAGUGGACGCAUCACUGGUGUUCGGGUUGUCAUGCCAAUGGCACUGCCCGGUAGCUAAAUGCGGAAGAGAUAAGUGCUGAAAGCAUCUAAGCACGAAACUUGCCCCGAGAUGAGUUCU
rnacentral:rRNA from 1 species